AUGCUGGCUGAGGCUCGGCAGUUAGGGAACUCAAACAGAACACUCAGGAAGAGCAGACAAGGAAGGCACCUCGAUUUGCGAUCCUCACCAAGGGUGGGCGGCACGGGGGUCAGAUUUCAAAGACAACUGAAACGAAACACGGAACAAAAAAAGAAGGAAACCGGGGCCAACCAGGCGCGGUUCUCUUACCCAGCCCCAGUUCCCAGGAAGGAGGACCAGCUACGCGGCGCUGCAGCGGGAAACGCCCCUCCUGCCCAUCUACCCACUCUGUCCCCGGAGGAGGACAGAACGCUGGGCAAGGGGGCAGGGCUUUGUCCUGCAGAGUGGGGUGAGGAGGGGAGCGGAGCUGAGACUGCAGUGGGCGCCCAGGAUGCGACCCGCGGACACAGACCCUGCCGGGUGACCGAGAGUCCCGGGGAGACAACAGUGGCUUCAGUCCGUGGGCUCUGAGAGAUGGUGAAAACUCACUCGGGAUAAACGCCUUCCUUCGGAUUCUGAAGUCUGUCAGAACGGGGCAGGUAAUGCUUUGUCCCUCGGGGCACAAACCUAAGCGGGUACUGUGCCCGGAGACAGACAGAAAGACAGAAAGAGAGAGUGAGCAGCCAGGAGAACAGAGGAGAAGGCGGCGGGGACGGUGGGGUGAGGGGGCGGGAGAGCGCGGCGGCCAGCCGUGUCCACGCGGCCUCGUGCUCCGGGUUCUCCGAAGCUCUCUGCCUGAGCGAGUCCGUAAAGCUCCCCGUGAGGACAAGGCGACCCUUCUGCGCCCGGCCGUCAGGGAAGGCGGAGAACAGCAGCGGGCUGUGCCAACGAGCGAAGUCACUUCCUUCCAAGCAUGGCCUCUGCGCGUGCGGGUCCUGCAGACGAACCUCUUGCGGGUCGUGCGACCCCGGGCGUCUCCUGGGCCGCACCUCGGCUCCACCAGGGCGCUCACCACGGUCCGUCGCCAAGUCUGAGCGUGUUUCUUUUUUGAGGGAACCUCUAGGAUCAGCUCCCACUGCACAGCGCCGGGCGCCCCGCAGCAGCGUGCUCCCCGGGCCUGGCUGAGUGGCUGCUCCGGGGGGUGAGGGCCAGCAUCUCGCGGGGGCGAGUGGGCCCCCCCGACUCCGGGGACGUGGGGGGCGCCUCCCCGACACGCACGCGGGGGUCAGAAUGUUGAUUUCAGGGUCAAUCAGCUAAGGCAACCAGCCAAUCACCACCAACGGGGUCUGCUUCUGGUGACUGAUUCGGAACAAGAAGUGAUUGGUUAAGACAGACGAGCUCGGCGGCGGCCCGGCAGCAGUCCGCGGGCU
rnacentral:lncRNA from 1 species